AUACGGAGGGUGCGAGCGUUAAUCGGAAUUACUGGGCGUAAAGGGUGCGUAGGCGGCUUGAUAAGUCGGAUGUGAAAGCCCCGGGCUUAAGCUGGGAAUUGCAUUCGAUACUGUCAGGCUAGAGUAUGUCAGAGGUUGGCGGAAUUCCUGGUGUAGCGGUGAAAUGCGUAGAUAUCAGGAGGAACACCAGUGGCGAAGGCGGCUAACUGGGGCAAUACUGACGCUGAGGCACGAAAGCGUGGGGAGCAAACAGGAUUAGAUACCCUAGUAGUCC
rnacentral:rRNA from 1 species